UAUAGCAAGGGCCACAUUUAAAAAUAGAAACUGGAGCCCAUCCUCUGGUCAGUACCAAGGUUCUUGCCUUUAUUUUUAAAAAUACUACUUUUAAAUCUAUUUUUUGCAUACAGAUAGUCACAGAGAGUUUUGUGAAAUAGUGCUAAAACUGUUCACUUUUGCCUAGAUCCCUCAGAACAUCCAAACCAAAGGUCAGUCACUAGGAGACACCCCAGGAGCGUGCUAAUUCCAUCACAGCAGGGCCUAAGAAUGAGGUCAUCUUUCUCUCAUUCAAGGGAGACCUUAGUUUCCUGCUCUCAGCGACAUUUCCAUAGCCUCAUGAUAGCUGCUUGGUGUUCUACAGUGUCUCCAGAUCCAGACCCUCUUAUAUGGACCACAGGACAAAAGGACUCUGGCCACCCAGCAGGCCAUGGGCAUGCUGUCCACGGCCCCCAAGGUUGCUUCGAAGCCAAAGCAGGCAUCAAAAGCCAAAGUGGCCUUCUGCACCAGCAUCCCUCAGGACACCCUGCUGGGGAAGGCCCGGCCCGGCACAACAGCAGACUGAGGCCCCCACCCUGAAAAAGCCUAGGACAUUCCUGGGCACUGUCAUUUAGGGUGCUGUACAAAUCACCUCCACCUAGAAAAUGGAAUUCAACAGUCAGGAUACAGAUUUCCAAGGCCAACUGUUGGCCCCAACAUGCAACAGUGAGACCGUAAGCCUC
rnacentral:sRNA from 1 species